UGGGGAAUAUUGGACAAUGGGGGCAACCCUGAUCCAGCCAUGCCGCGUGAGUGAUGAAGGCCUUAGGGUUGUAAAGCUCUUUCGCCGGGGAAGAUAAUGACGGUACCCGGAGAAGAAGCCUCGGCUAACUCCGUGCCAGCAGCCGCGGUAAGACGGAGGAGGCUAGCGUUGUUCGGAAUUACUGGGCGUAAAGCGUACGCAGGUGGCGGACCAAGUCGGAUGUGAAAGCCCGGGGCUCAACCCCGGAUGUGCAUCCGAUACUGUUCUGCUGGAGUCCGGAAGAGGAGAGCGGAAUUCCCAGUGUAGAGGUGAAAUUCGUAGAUAUUGGGAAGAACACCGGUGGCGAAGGCGGCUCUCUGGUCCGGUACUGACACUCAAGUACGAAAGCGUGGGGAGCAAACA
rnacentral:rRNA from 1 species